GAGAACAGAUCUUCAGCUCCUGACUGAAGGCAGGAGCUUCCCAGAUCACCACGGCCUAAAGGCCCCUCUCUGAAAAGAGGGCCAGAUUCUGAUGAACCUUGGAAGGGAAUCCUUCCCCUCUAUUUCCUAUUAACUCAGUUUACUUGCAUUAAUUCCCCUUGCUUUUUGUCCAUGGACUACCCCAGAAGGGGAGAGACUUUAAAGUAAUGUGGCCAGAGGGCCAAGUCACAGGAAGAGGCAGACCACCGUAGAGGCAGCGCGGCCACGGGCAGGAAACACCCUGAGGGUACAGAACUGCUACACCAUGCCUGGCCACAAGGAGGCACCACUGACUUCCUCUUCCUUUCAACAAAGCAGUUCAAUGUGAAGUCAAAGUUCAUUGACACAUUCUCUGUACUUGGAGACUGGAAUUGAUAAGCCUGCUGAUUUCAAGGACUGCAAUUCAAUCAGAAACCCCCUGAAAUAGCACUUCCUUCUCUGUAAUGGCUGCCAUGACUCAUCGAAGCAUGCAAGGGCAUGUGACUAAAUCAUGUGGUACUGGACUCCAUUUUGUUGCUUGUACUUUUCUACAAACUGCUGGGGGCUUGGCUUGAAACAAAGUUCCCUCCACAUGGAAGAAUCUAUAAAAGGGGGAAGUAACAUCACCAAGAGGCCUCACUCCCCCUACAACAUAACACCUGAGGAAUAAAGACUGAACUGGGGAAGCAGGGUCCCAGGCAGGACAGAAGAAUUCCUGCCUGUGUAUGCAAAAGCAAUAACCUGCUCACAGGGUGAUUCAAAUCUUAUCUAGUUUAUAAAGCUUGGAUUGUGUUUUUGUUUUAUUUCUUUGGGUAAUCUUCUGUGAUCUGUAUGCUCACUACUUAUAAUCACUUAAAAUCUAUCUUUCUCUAGUUAAUAAAUUUGUUUUAUAAGUUUUAC